GGCUCAGGACGAACGCUGGCGGCGUGCCUAACACAUGCAAGUCGAGCGGGGACACACAGUGAAGGAGAAGUUUCGGAUGGAACCGGAGCGGUGUGUUCUAGCGGCGGACGGGUGAGUAACGCGUGAGCAACCUGUCCUCCACAGGGGGAUAACACAGCGAAAGUUGUACUAAUACCGUAUAAGACCACGGGGCCGCAUGGUUCAGGGGUCAAAGGAGGAAUCCGGUGAAGGGUGGGCUCGCGUCCGAUUAGAUAGUUGGUGAGGUAACGGCCCACCAAGUCGACGAUCGGUAGCCGACCUGAGAGGGUGAUCGGCCACAUUGGGACUGAGACACGGCCCAAACUCCUACGGGAGGCAGCAGUGGGGAAUAUUGGGCAAUGGGGGGAACCCUGACCCAGCAACGCCGCGUGGAGGAAGAAGGUUUUCGGAUCGUAAACUCCUGUCCUUGGUGAAGAGGAAGAGACGGUAGCCAAGGAGGAAGCCCCGGCUAACUACGUGCCAGCAGCAGC
rnacentral:rRNA from 1 species